AUUGAACGCUGGCGGCAGGCUUAACACAUGCAAGUCGAGCGGGGUGAUGGUGCUUGCACUAUCACUUAGCGGCGGACGGGUGAGUAAUGCUUAGGAAUCUGCCUAUUAGUGGGGGACAACAUCUCGAAAGGGAUGCUAAUACCGCAUACGUCCUACGGGAGAAAGCAGGGGAUCUUUAUGACCUUGCGCUAAUAGAUGAGCCUAAGUCGGAUUAGCUAGUUGGUGGGGUAAAGGCCUACCAAGGCGACGAUCUGUAGCGGGUCUGAGAGGAUGAUCCGCCACACUGGGACUGAGACACGGCCCAGACUCCUACGGGAGGCAGCAGUGGGGAACAUUGGACAAUGGGGGGAACCCUGAUCCAGCCAUGCCGCGUGUGUGAAGAAGGCCUUAUGGUUGUAAAGCACUUUAAGCGAGGAGGAGGCUCUUUUGGUUAAUACCCAGAAUGAGUGGACGUUACUCGCAGAAUAAGCACCGGCUAACUCUGUGCCAGCAGCCGCGGUAAGAC
rnacentral:rRNA from 1 species